GCAUCGGUGGUUCAGUGGUUCAGUGCCACGCGGGCGGCCCGGGUUCGAUUCCCGGCCUAUGCA
rnacentral:tRNA from 1 species